rnacentral:misc_RNA from 1 species
GAUGAAGAACGCAGCGAAAUGCGAUAAGUAAUGUGAAUUGCAGAAUUCAGUGAAUCAUCGAAUCUUUGAACGCACAUUGCGCCCUCUGGUAUUCCGGGGGGCAUGCCUGUUCGAGCGUCAUUAUAACCACUCAAGCUCUCGCUUGGUAUUGGGGUUCGCGGUUUCGCGGCCCCUAAAAUCAGUGGCGGUGCCUGUCGGCUCUACGCGUAGUAAUACUCCUCGCGAUUGAGUCCGGUAGGUCUACUGCCAGCAACCCCUAAUUUUUUUAAGGUUGACCUCGGAUCAGGUAGGGAUACCCGCUGAACUUAAGCAUAUCAAUAAGCGGAGGA